GGGGAUGUAGUUCAGUGGCAGAACACAUGCAUUACAUGCAGAAAGGCCCUAGUUCAAUCCAUGGCUGUUCCU